UCAUUUUCAACUUCAUUUUUUGAAGAUCAUAUUCUAGAAAACCUCCAUGUUUAGUAAAGUUACUAGUAAUUUUGAAACCUUAUGGUGGAAAAUUCAAGCUCUUUGAAGGAUUUGCUCAAGAAUACCAAACAUAUCAUUACAUUAUGAUAUUUAUCAAGGGUACUUAAGUUCGGCUUCGGGAAUUGUGGCGUAUCUUGUGGUUAUUGAUGCAUGUUUGGUCACUUAAAUAUGUUGGACUAAUUUUAAAACUUUUUGGGACAAAUGUAAUAAGAUCCAUAAGGAUCAAAGACGAUUUAACUAUGUCGUGGUUGUGUC
rnacentral:lncRNA from 1 species